rnacentral:misc_RNA from 1 species
AGGAGGGGAGGAGAGCGCUGG